ACACAGUCUGAGCUGCAUACUUCCUGUAUACCAGGGGUCUCCAACCACACACAGUCUGAGCUGCAUACUUCCUGUAUACCAGGGGUCUCCAACCACACACAGUCUGAGCUGCAUACUUCCUGUAUACCAGGGGUCUCCAACCACACACAGUCUGAGCUGCAUACUUCCUGUAUACCAGGGGUCUCCAACCACACACAGUCUGAGCUGCAUACUUCCUGUAUACCAGGGGUCUCCAACCACACACAGUCUGAGCUGCAUACUUCCUGUAUACCAGGGGUCUCCAACCACACACAGUCUGAGCUGCAUACUUCCUGUAUACCAGGGGUCUCCAACCACACACGUCUGAGCUGCAUACUUCCUGUAUACCAGGGGUCUCCAACCACACACAUCUGAGCUGCAUACUUCCUGUAUACCAGGGGUCUCCAACCUUCUCUAGUUACUUUUUUUCUUCUAGGUUUUUCAAAUAGGAACAUUCUUCUCUUCUCUCCAUCUCUUUAUCUGGUCCUUAGUGUACAAGAGAAAGUAGAGCAGUGUGUUUUCUGUCAUUUUCGUGUGCAUUCGUAAGCUAUUCAAAGCC